AGUGAACGCUGGCGGUAGGCCUAACACAUGCAAGUCGAACGGCAGCACAGUAAGAGCUUGCUCUUACGGGUGGCGAGUGGCGGACGGGUGAGGAAUACAUCGGAAUCUACUUUUUCGUGGGGGAUAACGUAGAGAUACUUACGCUAAUACCGCAUACGACCUACGGGUGAAAGCAGGGGAUCUUCGGACCUUGCGCGAUUGAAUGAGCCGAUGUCGGAUUAGCUAGUUGGCGGGGUAAAGGCCCACCAAGGCGACGAUCCGUAGCUGGUCUGAGAGGAUGAUCAGCCACACUGGAACUGAGACACGGUCCAGACUCCUACGGGAGGCAGCAGUGGGGAAUAUUGGACAAUGGGCGCAAGCCUGAUCCAGCCAUACCGCGUGGGUGAAGAAGGCCUUCGGGUUGUAAAGCCCUUUUGUUGGGAAAGAAAAGCAGCAGGUUAAUACCCCGCUGUUCUGACGGUACCCAAAGAAUAAGCACCGGCUAACUUCGUG
rnacentral:rRNA from 1 species